rnacentral:lncRNA from 10 species
UGCCAGGGGGCACAGUGUGGCUUUAGCUAGAUUCUUUGAACUUGGAGUCAAACCUGAGGCUCUGACCCCUUGUAGCCGCUGGCCCUCCCUUGACCCCUUUGGAUGAGUGAGGGGGCUCAGCUGGACCCUAUGACCUUGCUUCACAUUGGAGCAUGGAGUUUUCCAAGGAUCUGUCACUAGUGUGCCGUCUGAACAGACAUCGCUGCUGACACCUAAAACCUCUUCUAAGAAACACUCCAAUUAUUCAGAUAAUUGCUUGUGCCUAAGACUGUAUAACCUAAGAGUCGGGUGCAGGCUUGAUAAAGAAUUGGAAGCCCUCUGCAAAACUGCUACAGGUGUUCUGUGUUCCGACGCCCUCCAUCACCUUGGACAGGGGUUCUUCUUCCGGCCCAGUCUCUCCCAUUUCCUCUUUUCUCCCUCCAUCUCCUCCCAUUUGCUUGGCCAGAGCAGAGGCUCGGCUGGUCUAGUUCAGGUAGGAUGGCCAGCAUCCAGUCACUGCCAUAUUCAACAAGGACUUGAGAGCUUCUAGAGAGAGAAAUGCAAGUCAAACCAGCCUGGGCUUUUAAAAGGGGGCUUUGUGUGACCCUGGACACCUGCAACUGGGAGCCAACACUGCCACGUGCUCUCUCUUUUCUCACGCCUCAACUUCCUCUGAAUACUGAUCUAAAUCUCUUUGCUAAGCUUCCUCUCUAUGGCAGGUAAUGUGCACGAUGGCAGCUUUUGCUUAUUGUACCUCAUGACUUCACUGCCAGAAAGGGACAGAGAGGGGCCUUCACGGCCUUCACUGGGGCCAGGUGACCAUCAUUGGCUCAAACACUGCGGCUUGGGAAGAGCUGAACUGAUGCC